GCCCAGCGAUUAAGACACCAGGCUGAUAACCUGGGGUCGCAGGUUCGAUCCCGGG
rnacentral:tRNA from 11 species